rnacentral:lncRNA from 10 species
GUUUGGAUGGUUGGCCUCUUGGUUACAAGCAUGUACAUUAUGGCUCUCUCCUUGCCUGGAACUGGAUAUGAGAAAUGCUUGAAUUAAGAUCUGUGAAUUAUCUUAUUUUCUUGUCAGAAGGAUGCAGAUUGCCCAUACUUCAUAGCAGAGCAACAGGAGGGACUUAGGGACAAAAAGCUCAAAGGCAAGGAAGACUGAGGAAGCUAAGUUACUGGCCAUAUGUUUAAUAAAUAUAAGCUUAAUGGCAGUGAAUGUAUUAAUGUCAGCGAAGACAAGUCUAUGAAGUUAAACAGGCACAGAGAGGCUAAGAGUCUUGCCAAAGGCCACAGAGGAAGGAAGAGACUAAAUCUGGAACAAACUUUCUAUUCUCCAUUUCCAGAAGAAACCACUAAACCAUGCUUCCUCUUGUCAUGGAAGCUUAAAAUAUUUGGACUGUCUGUGGAUCCAGGGAGGAAUUUCAGAAGAGCCAGGAUUAGUCAAUCAAAUUAAACUCAAUAUCACCCAAAUAAAGUUGGUCAGAUCAAACUACGUUUAAAUAAGAAUUAAAAUGCCAUUUGUCCAUCACCUAAUGGCUCAAUUUGCUCCUGCCUUGGGUGUGCACACCCUGCUCUGGAACAGACCAGAGCUCUAAAGAAGUGACUGGAAGUUGUGAAUGUCAUUGUUAUGAAGCUUCAAAUUUGCUCUCCUCUUUAGGACACAGACAUGGCAUUAGAGAAGGGCAGAAAACUGCACUUGGCUGUGCAUAGAGAACACUAGAGACCUCUUGUGCAAGAGAGGGGACUAGGUUGCGUAGUGUAAUGAGAGAAGCAUGGGUUUUGAGACCGCUACAAUGUCUGUGUCUUCUUGGCCAACAUUUCAGUAAGAGUAGUAAGCAUAUCUCCACAAUAGGGUUAAGAGAACCAGUGUCUUCUGAAAAACACAUGAAAUCAUCGUAACCCUGCUAAGUCUGUGCUUUGCAAAAAUUAAAACUAAAACUAAUUUUCA